UACAGAGGUCUCAAGCGUUGUUCGGAUUCAUUGGGCGUAAAGGGUGCGUAGGUGGCGCCGUAAGUCGGGUGUGAAAUUUCGGAGCUUAACUCCGAAACUGCAUUCGAUACUGCGGUGCUUGAGGACUGGAGAGGAGACUGGAAUUCAUGGUGUAGUAGUGAAAUGCGUAGAGAUCAUGAGGAAGACCAGUGGCGAAGGCGGGUCUCUGGACAGUUCCUGACACUGAGGCACGAAGGCCAGGGGAGCAAACGGG
rnacentral:rRNA from 1 species